AGAACGAACGCUGGCGGCAUGCCUAAUACAUGCAAGUCGAACGAGAUCUUCGGGUCUAGUGGCGCACGGGUGCGUAACGCGUGGGAAUCUACCCUUGGGUUCGGAAUAACAGUUGGAAACGACUGCUAAUACCGGAUGAUGACGAAAGUCCAAAGAUUUAUCGCCCAGGGAUGAGCCCGCGUAGGAUUAGCUAGUUGGUGAGGUAAAGGCUCACCAAGGCUACGAUCCUUAGCUGGUCUGAGAGGAUGAUCAGCCACACUGGACUGAGACACGGCCAGACUCCUACGGGAGCAGCAGUAGGGAUA
rnacentral:rRNA from 1 species